UUGUAAUUUGGAGAAGGUGUUUCGGAAGAGAUGAUGGUCCAAGUUCCUUGGAACAGGGCGUCAUAGAGGGUGAGAAUCCCGUAUGCGACCAAUCGUCGAUUCCUUGUGAAGCCCUUUCGACGAGUCGAGUUGUUUGGGAAUGCAGCUCUAAACGGGUGGUAAAUUUCAUCUAAAGCUAAAUACCUGCCAGAGACCGAUAGCGCACAAGUAGAGUGAUCGAAAGAUGAAAAGCACUUUGAAAAGAGAGUCAAACAGUACGUGAAAUUGUUGAAAGGGAAGCGCUUGCAAUCAGACUUGUUUACAGAUGCUCAGCCUUCCUACGGGUUGGUGUAUUCUUCUGUCAACGGGCCAGCAUCAGUUUUGGCGGUUGGAUAAAGAUUUUGGGAAUGUAGCUUUUCUCGAAGAGUGUUAUAGCCUGGAAUGCAAUGCAGCAGCCGAGACUGAGGUCCGCGCUUUUGCUAGGAUGUUGGCAUAAUGGUUGCU
rnacentral:rRNA from 1 species